rnacentral:rRNA from 1 species
CCCGGGCCUUGUACACACCGCCCGUCACACCACGGAAGCCGGAAACGCCCGAAGCCUGUGGCCCAACCCGCAAGGGAGGGAGCAGUCGAAGGUGGAGUUGGUGACUGGGGUG